GCUGGUUACUUGGCUUGUAUUGGUGUCUGUCCUGGUGCUGCUCUAGAUCAGUGUUCUCAACCAGGGGUACGUCUACCCCUGGUGUACGCAGAUGUCUUCCAGGAGGCCCAAGGAUUGGAAGCAAUCAAUGGUGAGUUGUGUGAAGCGGAGGGCGUUGUCGAACGUGGAGGCCUUCAGGAGGCAAUCGUCGAGUUGUAGGGGUUUGGAUGCCUAAGGAUCGAAGAGUGGCCCUUGAUUCCUUCAUUGAGUGAAGCACCUCAUUUGUAGUGGAAGCAAAGAGUUUGUCACCAUCAAAAGGGAGAUCCUCUAUGGUGCUCUGAACCUCACGAGGAAA